UUACUGGUAAAAAUGACAGAUUGCAACCGAACCCUAAUAAAACUUAUUAUAUUAUAUUAUUAUUUAUUUUUUCCACUUUUUAUUUUUGCAUCUCAGCAAAAGCAAAUUUCAGCGGUUUCCAGUCCAGGACGGACGGGCGGAUGGACAGACAGACAGACAAAUAUGGCGAAACUAUAAGGAUUCCUAGUUGACUACGAAAUACUAAAAUAAGCGCCAAAUUUGAAACAUGGGCGAAGGUUUAUUGUGCCAUAGAAAAUUUGAAUUAGGCGCCUUUUUUAAACGACAGUAUUUGCUUGGCCAUAAUUUUCUUUAAAUAAUUUUAUUAAUGUAAAUGUUGCAAAUAAUUGUGAAAAUAAAGUUAUCGAAUAAUAAUACUAAAGCCUGACCAGAAAUAUAUGACUAUUAUUGUCAAGAGGGCGCUGUUUAUUCUGAUGUAUGGGGUGACAUUGCAGUUUAGUAUGAAGAAUAGUUCUCAUAUUAUAUUUCUCUCUUUAUUAGGCUCUCAGGCUUUAUCAAUCUAUGACUUUCGAGCCAAUUCGUCACUACUUUUAAAAAAUUUCGUAUCUCACGCUGUUCCUCAAAGUUAAAACGCAGUAAGUCUAUAUGCAUUCCAUACAUACUUACUACAAUUUUCUUUUCAUUGAUAGACGAAGAUAUGAGUUUUUUUUUAAAGUAGUGACGAAUUAUUUAUGUCUCCUGAUUUUUAGGACACGUGUCUUCUGAUUUUAUUCAAAUUGGACCUGGCAACACUGAAAUAAUGUCAGAAUCUUUUCUUUGACAUUAUUUACAAUUUAUAUUAUUGUACAUAAUUGGUUUUUUCACUAUUCUUAAGCUAAAAAAAACACCUGUUUGUCCUCCAAAGAAUACCUUAUUGGAUUCACAGAAUGAUUGAGGAUUUGAGGGAAGCAUGUUAAGACUGUGACAAUAUGGUCUUAAGGCAGCCGGCCUCAUUGAGAACAAGAAAAUAUUCUGCUUCAUGUAGCGGUUGUUAUUUGUUAAUAUGACAUGUCUCGGCAGUGUAGUGACCCUGUGCUUAAUUAAGGCUUCAGGCUCAAAUCAUGGUAAACCAAAAUGUAAGCGGCCGGUUGAAAAAGUAGCAGAGUCGAAAAUGGAAAUUAAUGAGCUGCAGAAGUAAAUUUUAGAAGAAUAAUUCUCUUCUUUGUUGUAUCCUUGUGGCUGAGGGACAUGACGAAUGAGGCCAUUCUUUACCAGUGCUCUUCACGCCACUCAAUCCUGGGCCCGGUGCAUGCUAGCCUGCAGUGGUCUUUGUCAGAGAUGUUAUUGUGUCUGCCCAAUGUGUGCCCAUGCUGCCACUUCUUCACUUCCUUGCCGUGUCCUGUGAUUAUGGGAAUAAUAUGCAAAUAAAAACCAACAAUGGGCCAUCGAAGAACAGGAGAGGGCAUGUGGGCCUUAGAGAAAGAGUUGUUAAUGUGAAGACUAAAUAAAUUCAACAAAUAAAAUCUCAACUAUAAUACUGUCUUUGGUACACCCGCUACCAUCGCGUCAAAUAGUGAAAGUGCAGUUCAGUGUAAGCAAAGACAGUGUACAAGAUAUACCACUCACCUAUGGCAUUAGUGUUACUAGACCACAUUAAUACAUAAAGACUAUUUUUCUAAACUUGUCCAAAAAUUUUAUUAAAAAGGUGUCGGAACGCCUUCUCGGGGGACCAAAUAGCGGGUUCCUUCUUUGCUCAGAGGUUGAGUCUGGCGGUGCAAAGGGGAAACGCCGCAAGCAUUCUUGGGUCUAUGCCGGAGGCAGGGGAUCUGAGGGGGUUUUUUAUAUUUAGUUAUAACCUGCUUGUGUUAGUUUUAGUCUUUAGGGUUUUAAGAUUUAAUUAUAAGAUUAAAUAUAUUGUUCGUAGUUGUUGUUGAAUAAGCAGUGUUUGUGUGUCUGACUAACGAAAAUAUAAAUUCAGAUUCUAAACGUCUAAACUUGUGUAUAGCUCUGUGUUGUCUUAAUAAAUCCUAUUGGAAACGC
rnacentral:lncRNA from 1 species